CCCCAGACUCCUACGGGAGGCAGCAGUGGGGAAUAUUGCACAAUGGGGGAAACCCUGAUGCAGCGACGCCGCGUGAGUGAAGAAGUAAUUCGUUAUGUAAAGCUCUAUCAGCAGGGAAGAAAAUGACGGUACCUGAGUAAGAAGCCCCGGCUAACUACGUGCCAGCAGCCGCGGUAAUACGUAGGGGGCAAGCGUUAUCCGGAUUUACUGGGUGUAAAGGGAGCGUAGACGGCAGUGCAAGUCUGGAGUGAAAGGCGGGGGCUCAACCCCCGGACUGCUCUGGAAACUGUACGGCUGGAGUGCAGGAGAGGUAAGUGGAAUUCCUAGUGUAGCGGUGAAAUGCGUAGAUAUCAGGAGGAACACCGGCGGCGAAGGCGGCCUGCUGGACCGCGACUGACGUUGAGGCUCGAAAGCGUGGGGAGCAAACAGGAUUAGAUACCCCAGUAAC
rnacentral:rRNA from 1 species